AACAAAACAAUCCUGCCAAGUACAAAACUAGCACUGAAAUCACAUUUGCCUAAUCAGAAUCAAAUUACCUACCCUAGCUGUAAUAGACAUGUUCAUAUAUUUGUAAAGCACUUUGUAACUGCAUAAGUGUUAUAAAAAUUAAGUUUAUUAUUAUUAUUUACUAAAUCAAUUUUGGUACAGAUUCCCAGAGCGCCACACAUCGGAUGCCAUAGCUGUCUGCAUGAAAUACUCCACAGCUGGAAACUGAAAGGGAAGGUGCAGUGUGCUGUCACUGAUAAUGGAGCUAACAUGGUGGCGGCCAUUAGAAAGCGAAAUAUAAGACACAUACCAUGUUUUGCACAUACUAUUAAUCUAAUAGUCAAGGACAGCCUAAGUGCAAUCCCAGAAUUGGAAGAAAUGAGACAGAAAGUAAGAAAAAUCGUAGGACAUUUCAAGAGGAGUUGCACUGCAAAGGAGAAGCUUGCAGCUUUGCAGCAGGACAUGAAACUGAAAGAGCGAAAACUAGUUCAAGAAGUUGAAACUAGAUGGAAUGCAACCUAUCUCAUGCUGGAGCGCUUUUUAGAAGUGAAGGAGCCCCUAUCAGCUGCACUGUCAUCCCUCAAAGGGUCAGCCCUCCCAGUAAUCUUCCAAAAUGACUGGAUUGACAUGGAGGAGACAACAAAGUUUCCUUGGUAUUGCAACUCUUCUCGACCCACGUUUCAAGAAACUGGCAUUUGGUAAUGAGAAUAAUGCAGGAGGAGGCCGUGAAAUCUUUCUCAGCUGAGUUCGCAGUGUUGGUGAGAGAGGGAGGUGCUCAGGCUAUGAAUGUAGGGGCAAGUGUUGUUGAGCCAGAAGAAGACGACAUCUGGAAAGAGUUUGAUGUACGGGUCUCGCAACAGAAUCCACACAAGGAUUUCACAACAGAGGUUAAGAUGUACUUUGCCCUCCCAAACCUUGACAGGAAAAUGUGUCCACUACAGUUUUGGCAAUCUGAAGGCCACAGAUUCCCCCACCUCCAGAAGCUGACCUUGAAAUACCUUUGUGUACCCGCAACAUCAGUCCCCAGCGAAAGGAUUUUCUCCAAAUCAGGAGAACUGAUCUCAGAAGGUCAAGACUCAAGCCCAAAAACGUCAGCAUGUCCCUCUUCCUGCAUUACAAUUGGUAGUGUGGUACCCAGCAUGACCCGAAGGUCCCUCCCCAAUAUGUGAAGAACGUUUUUUUUAUUUUUUACUAUUGUACCAUUGUAUUGUAUAGUAUUUAAGUUUUGUACCAUUUAGUAUUGAUUUUCAUUUAAAACAUUUGUUUUGUUU